rnacentral:rRNA from 1 species
CCUGAGAAACCCAAAAGAUCGAAUGAGGAGAUUCAUCGUCAGCUCAUUUUGUAUAUAUAUGAGUUAUGAUGCGGGUUACUACUUUGUAGUAUUGCUUGUACAUUCUUAUAUAUUUAGUUGUUGCAAGAUGUUGUCGGCGUGCACUUCUCCUCUAGUAGGAUGUCGCGACCCGUUAGGUGUUGGUCUACGGCUCAAGUGGUAGUCUUUAAUAUUUUAUUAUAUUAAAGACCCUUGAUGUUUCCUGACCAGCUACUUGGCGGUAUUUAUAAUGGUAUUAAGCCGCAAUUUAUUAUGCGUCUAUUCCCGUCGCAAGCGAGGCCAAUUACUGGUAGUACGGACUUAGUGCCGUCGCUGGUAUUGACCAGCUGUUGGUUGUUACGGUGUACUAAGACUGGCUUAAAAUAAUUACCUGUCAGCGAUGCUACUGCUUUGGGUACUUUCAGGACCCGUCUUGAAACACGGACCAAGG